UAAGACGAACCGUCCAAACGUUAUUCGGAAUUACUGGGCUUAAAGGGUGCGUAGGCGGCGCGGAAAGUUGGGUGUGAAAUACCUCGGCUCAACCGAGGAAUUGCGCCCAAAACUGCCGUGCUCGAGGGAGAUAGAGGUGAGCGGAACUUAGGGUGGAGCGGUGAAAUGCGUUGAUAUCCUAAGGAACACCGGUGGCGAAAGCGGCUCACUGGAUCUCUUCUGACGCUGAGGCACGAAAGCUAGGGUAGCGAACGGGAUUAGAUACCCCGGUAGUCCUAGCCGUAAACGAUGAGCACUGGAUUGGAGGGUCCUCCAUAGCCUUCCAGUCGCAACGAAAGUGUUAAGUGCUCCGCCUGGGGAGUAUGGUCGCAAGGCUG
rnacentral:rRNA from 1 species